rnacentral:lncRNA from 1 species
CUAAAUCUAACGCAAUAGAAAAUAAUGGCUUCAAAAACCAGUGUAGAAUAAAGAUAUAGAGAUUUGAAACUCAUACCUAUGAUCUAGAUGUUCCCAGGUCAAAAUCCAUCCACUGAAGAACAUGCCAGAAAAAAUGAGGAGUCCUUCUCCUUAUGCAACUGCCCGCGUUCACGUCCCAUGUGAUUCCUGCACAUGCAGCCUAUGCCUGUCUAGUGCAAUUCUCAUGCACAUGUCUUGUGCACGUCUUGUGCGCUAUAGCCCUACAUCCAAGAUGGUCUCAUACACUCAAGAUAUUUUGCCCAAUUACUCAAACCAUGAUCUUGGUACUCCAAAGUGUGGGCUUUGGAAGGGAGGAGGCUAUGACUCUCUAUCUCUUUAGAGGUGGAAGAUGACUAACUAAAAGUCAUUAGGAAACCCUAACCUAUAAGGAGGUAUUUAUACGAUUACCCACUCGGCUUAGGUGACUUGAGCCUAUCAAGGCUUGGGUCACUUAAUCUAGCCCAAAACGAGUCUUAAUUGAUUAAUUAAUCACAUAAGGUCAUCUAAUUAAUCAAUUAGCCCAAACUAGAGAACUUGUUCAUUAUCCUCUAUGCAACCUUGCUAAAUUACCAAAACAUCCUUAUGCACAAGAAUGAACUUAGAGCCAAUCCAACCCUCAUAAACUGUGCCAUCAUGGUAUAUGAGCUCAAAGCAAAGACCACUGGGACCCAUUAGAGUACUGGCUCCCUCAAAAUCCAAUUAUGAAGUUAAUUCAAUAUUCCACUAAAGAUAAUAAACUGCACUCCAAUACCCUUUGUAAAUAAAAAAUGAGACAGCUAAGGUCCGUGACCUACUACCCACUGCAUGCAAACUCCCCAUGAACUGGUGUUCGUAAUCUAACAAGGUAGUGUUAUCACUUAUCAAGAUUACCUCUCCAAUCCUGGAGUUACAGAUCUCACUUAUUAUGUGAUCAACUGACAUAUCUAAAGAGCAUAUAUCAAAUUUCACUAACGGAAUUACUCUGGCUACAGAUUUCAUGAUCACAUGUCCUUUGCAUCACCCAAUGAAACACAUUGUCUCAAUUCCAUGAGAUAUCAUGGUACCUAUAUUGAAAAUACUU